rnacentral:rRNA from 1 species
CAUGGCUCAGAUUGAACGCUGGCGGCAGGCUUAACACAUGCAAGUCGAACGGUAACAGGAAUUAGCUUGCUAAUUUGCUGACGAGUGGCGGACGGGUGAGUAAUGCUUGGGAAUCUGGCUUAUGGAGGGGGAUAACUACGGGAAACUGUAGCUAAUACCGCGUAAAAUCUUCGGAUUAAAGGGUGGGACUUUCGAGCCACCUGCCAUAAGAUGAGCCCAAGUGGGAUUAGGUAGUUGGUUAGGUAAAGGCUGACCAAGCCGACGAUCUCUAGCUGGUCUGAGAGGAUGACCAGCCACACUGGAACUGAGACACGGUCCAGACUCCUACGG